UACAGAGGGGGCAAGCGUUAUUCGGAAUUAUUGGGCGUAAAGGGCGCGUAGGCGGCUUUUCAAGUGGCGGGUGAAAUCCCUCGGCUUAACCGAGGAACUGCCUGCCAGACUGGAUGGCUUGAGACCGGGAGAGGUGAGUGGAAUUCCCAGUGUAGCGGUGAAAUGCGUAGAUAUUGGGAGGAACACCAGUGGCGAAGGCGGCUCACUGGACCGGUACUGACGCUGGAGGCGCGAAAGCGGUGGGGAGCAAACAGG
rnacentral:rRNA from 1 species